rnacentral:rRNA from 1 species
AAUGAACGCUGGCGGCAUGCCUAACACAUGCAAGUCGAACGAGACCAUCGGGUCUAGUGGCGCCCGGGUGCGUAACGCGUGGGAACCUGCCCUUAGGUUCGGAAUAACUCCCCGAAAGGGGUGCUAAUACCGGAUAAUGCCUUCGGACCAAAGAUUUAUCGCCUUUGGAUGGGCCCGCGUUGGAUUAGCUGGUUGGUAGGGUAAAAGCCUACCAAGGCGACGAUCCAUAGCUGGUCUGAGAGGAUGGUCAGCCACACUGGGAGUGGGACGCGGCCCGGACUCUUACGCGAUGCGGGAGAGGGUGAUAUUGCACAGCGGGCGGAGGCCUGAUCCAGCAAUGCCGGGUAAGUGAUGAAGGCCUUAGGGUAGUAAAGCUCUUUUACCCGGGAUGAUAAUGACGGUACCGGAAGAAUAAGCUCCGGCUAACUCCGUG